rnacentral:rRNA from 1 species
GUGAACGCUGGCGGUAGGCCUAACACCUGCCAGUCGCACGGCAGCACAGUAAGAGCUUGCUCUUACGGGUGGCGAGUGGCGGACGGGUGCGGAAUACAUCGGAAUCUACUUUUUCGUGGAGGAUAACGUAGGGAAACUUACGCUAAUACCGCAUACGACCUACGGGUGAAAGCAGGGGAUCUUCGGACCUUGCGCGAUUGAAUGAGCCGAUGUCGGAUUAGCUAGUUGGCGGGGUAAAGGCCCACCAAGGCGACGAUCCGUAGCUGGUCUGAGAGGAUGAUCAGCCACACUGGAACUGAGACACGGUCCAGACUCCUACGGGAGGCAGCAGUGGGGAAUAUUGGACAAUGGGCGCAAGCCUGAUCCAGCCAUACCGCGUGGGUGAAGAAGGCCUUCGGGUUGUAAAGCCCUUUUGUUGGGAAAGAAAAGCAGCAGGUUAAUACCCCGCUGUUCUGACGGUACCCAAAGAAUAAGCACCGGCUAACUUCGUG